rnacentral:tRNA from 1 species
CAACGAGUGGUUUAUUUACUAGAAUAUUAAUUUUGGGUAUUAAGGGCAUAGGUGUUUUCCUAUCUUGUUGA